rnacentral:rRNA from 1 species
GCCUAACACAUGCAAGUCGAGCGGUAGCACAGAGAGCUUGCUCUCGGGUGACGAGCGGCGGACGGGUGAGUAAUGUCUGGGAAACUGCCUGAUGGAGGGGGAUAACUACUGGAAACGGUAGCUAAUACCGCAUAACGUCGCAAGACCAAAGUGGGGGACCUUCGGGCCUCAUGCCAUCAGAUGUGCCCAGAUGGGAUUAGCUAGUAGGUGAGGUAACGGCUCACCUAGGCGACGAUCCCUAGCUGGUCUGAGAGGAUGACCAGCCACACUGGGACUGAGACACGGUCCAGACUCCUACGGGAGGCAGCAGUGGGGAAUAUUGCACAAUGGGCGCAAGCCUGAUGCAGCCAUGCCGCGUGUAUGAAGAAGGCCUUCGGGUUGUAAAGUACUUUCAGCGGGGAGGAAGGCGAUAAGGUUAAUAACCUUGUCGAUUGACGUUACCCGCAGAAGAAGCACCGGCUAACUCCGUGCCAGCAGCCGCGGUAAUACGGAGGGUGCAAGCGUUAAUCGGAAUUACUGGGCGUAAAGCGCACGCAGGCGGUCUGUCAAGUCGGAUGUGAAAUCCCCGGGCUCAACCUGGGAACUGCAUUCGAAACUGGCAGGCUAGAGUCUUGUAGAGGGGGGGUAGAAUUCCAGGUGUAGCGGUGAAAUGCGUAGAGAUCUGGAGGAAUACCGGUGGCGAAGGCGGCCCCCUGGACAAAGACUGACGCUCAGGUGCGAAAGCGUGGGGAGCAAACAGGAUUAGAUACCCUGGUAGUCCACGCCGUAAACGAUGUCGAUUUGGAGGUUGUGCCCUUGAGGCGUGGCUUUCGGAGCUAACGCGUUAAAUCGACCGCCUGGGGAGUACGGCCGCAAGGUUAAAACUCAAAUGAAUUGACGGGGGCCCGCACAAGCGGUGGAGCAUGUGGUUUAAUUCGAUGCAACGCGAAGAACCUUACCUGGUCUUGACAUCCACAGAACUUAGCAGAGAUGCUUUGGUGCCUUCGGGAACUGUGAGACAGGUGCUGCAUGGCUGUCGUCAGCUCGUGUUGUGAAAUGUUGGGUUAAGUCCCGCAACGAGCGCAACCCUUAUCCUUUGUUGCCAGCGGUUAGGCCGGGAACUCAAAGGAGACUGCCAGUGAUAAACUGGAGGAAGGUGGGGAUGACGUCAAGUCAUCAUGGCCCUUACGACCAGGGCUACACACGUGCUACAAUGGCGCAUACAAAGAGAAGCGACCUCGCGAGAGCAAGCGGACCUCAUAAAGUGCGUCGUAGUCCGGAUUGGAGUCUGCAACUCGACUCCAUGAAGUCGGAAUCGCUAGUAAUCGUAGAUCAGAAUGCUACGGUGAAUACGUUCCCGGGCCUUGUGCACACCGCCCGUCACACCAUGGGAGUGGGUUGCAAAAGAAGUAGGUAGCUUAACCUUCGGGAGGGCGCUUACCACUUUGUGAUUCAUGACUGGGGUGAAG